GACGAACGCUGGCGGCGUGCUUAACACAUGCAAGUCGAGCGGUAAGGCCCUUUCGGGGGUACGACGAGCGGCGAACGGGUGAGUAACACGUGGGUGACCUGCCCUCCAGCUCUGGGAUAAGCCUGGGAAACCGGGUCUAAUACCGGAUAUGACUCCAUGACGCAUGUUGUGGGUGGAAAGCCUUGUGCGGCUGAGGAUGGGCCCGCGGCCUAUCAGCUUGUUGGUGGGGUGAUGGCCUACCAAGGCGACGACGGGUAGCCGGCCUGAGAGGGCGACCGGCCACACUGGGACUGAGACACGGCCCAGACUCCUACGGGAGGCAGCAGUGGGGAAUCUUGCGCAAUGGGCGAAAGCCUGACGCAGCGACGCCG
rnacentral:rRNA from 1 species